ensembl:lncRNA
AUGCUCAUUUACUUUCUUAGCAUUAAAAGAAAUAUGGUCUUUGCUAUUUCUAUAGCUGUCAUCCACAAGGACCAGAAUGAAGAGCAGGGAAAGGCUGAGCCAGAGAUAACAGAAGGAAAGCACAAGGUCUUUGUGCAGACACACGCUGUUGGUUGCUUGGAUUCACCUACACCUUCAGCAGCUCAAGCUCUCUUCUGGACAAAAAGAUUCCAGUCAUAUUGUGGGGAACUGGAAGCUUAUGGCAUCAUUCCCCUGAAAUUAGGACAUUAAUUCUGGUUAGGAAGCCCAGGCUGUUCACUGACAAUGGUGUGCGAAGCGUCUGUGCAAUCUGAGGAUUCCGCCUGCAGCUUUGCAGUGAUAGGAACAAAUGUACCUCACCAAGAAAUGACCCCUGGGACCACAAGGAUCUGUCAGAACCUCCUGUCACAGCUGCUUCUGAUGCAGACAUCAUAUUUUGCCUCAGAAACUGGAAUUCAUUUUCAGUUUGUAGGCAGCCUGUUCUAGCUUUUUGAACUUACAGAAAAAUUCGGAACAGUAUAUGAAGACGUGUGCAAUAUUGAUGCUGCACUCAAGGCAAUAAUUGGGCUUUGUACCAACUUGUUUUAUAUUGUAUUGAAACAGUGAAAUACCCUAUGUGAUAGAGUUUGGAGAUAUUUCUUGAUUUAUUUUUUUUCCUAUUAUUUUAUCAAUACUUUUAGCAUAGCUUUUCUGUCCAGCUAUGGAAUAGGUUAUCUUUCAUUUCUUUCUGUAGGUCUCCUAUUUAAAACAGAAAUAAUGUGUGAUGUGCUAUGAGACAUUUCUGGAAAAUCUUAUUAUUAUUCAAAAAACCCUGGUUAGCUGUAGCCAGAACAGAAUAGAUUUUAAAGAGGUGGAGAGUAUUUGUAGUAAACCAAUGUAUGAAGUCUCCCUUAUAACAUCUAACUAUGUUUACUUUAUAAUUUAGCUUACAUAUUCUGAGAAAAGGGGAUGAACGUAAAUUUCUUUUUUCAGUGAGGAAAUGGCUCCACUGCAUGUUGCCACAAUGCACAGAGAGGUCUGAGCUAGUUAUAAUCUCUCUCAUCAGGGCAGACACCUGUACUGCAUAGUUGGAUUGUUUCUGUACUAAGUCCCAUAUCUCUACAGUAUAUAGAUUAUUCUGUGAUGCCCUUGAAUUAUAGAUUGCAUGCAUGGACACUCCAAAGCAGAUGUAUUUCCUAUACUUUAAUAAUUGUCCCAUCUGGUCUCAAAUAUUACUGUGUAGAUUUGGAUAUUUCCUCUCAAAUAAUAACCCAAAUUGUAGUAUGAGCCAGGAAUUUAAUACCAGACAAGUUUCAUCAAAGCACUUGGGAGUUUUUGCCAUUAGCUUGAGUAGGGCUGGGAUUCCAGCCACUGUGGUUUUUAGUAAAGAUACUCCUGGAUAAACUGCAAGAGCAAGCAGAGGCCCACCCAGUGGGAGUGCCGAUAAAAUCAUACUGCUCAGGAGGAAGAGGAUAAAUCUUCUUAGUCUCUUCAGAAAAUUCACAUCUCACCUUGCUUCCAGAAGGUUGGUGGAUACCUCCGGCUCUAGGUAUGUUACAAAUCGUCACUAAAAACCUGGAAAGCCCUGAAGGUCUUAGCUGGGGCCAGCCAUGCAGAUCCUCCUUGUUAUUAAAAUCCCUCCCUUGAAGUAAUUUUGAGGAUUAAUAGAACAAGCUUUUCAAAUAAGUUUCUUUUUUCUUUUUUUUCUUUUUGUUUUGCCCACAUGAAAUGACAUUAUGUCAAAUGAAUGUCAAUGUGGAAUGCUACAUUCAGUUUCCCAGCUACCCUACCUAUCUGUUUAAGUGUCAGCUUUCAUUCUAAAAUAAAGCUUGCAUUUUGCAUGUUUUUCA